rnacentral:rRNA from 1 species
CGUGUAGGCGGUUUUUUAAGUCAGGUGUGAAAGUUCGGGGCUUAACCCCGGAAUUGCAUUUGAAACUGGAGAACUUGAGUACUGGAGAGGUAAGUGGAAUUCCUAGUGUAGCGGUGAAAUGCGUAGAUAUUAGGAGGAACACCAGUGGCGAAGGCGACUUACUGGACAGAUACUGACGCUGAGGCGCGAAAGCGUGGGGAGCGAACA